ACGAACGCUGGCGGCGUGCUUAACACAUGCAAGUCGCACGGAAAGGCCCUGCUUGCAGGGUACUCGAGUGGCGAACGGGUGAGUAACACGUGGGUGAUCUGCCCUGCACUUCGGGAUAAGCCUGGGAAACUGGGUCUAAUACCGGAUAGGAGCCAUUUUUAGUGUGAUGGUUGGAAAGUUUUUUCGGUGUAGGAUGAGCUCGCGGCCUAUCAGCUUGUUGGUGGGGUAAUGGCCUACCAAGGCGGCGACGGGUAGCCGGCCUGAGAGGGUGGACGGCCACAUUGGGACUGAGAUACGGCCCAGACUCCUACGGGAGGCAGCAGUGGGGAAUAUUGCACAAUGGGCGCAAGCCUGAUGCAGCGACGCCGCGUGGGGGAUGACGGCCUUCGGGUUGUAAACUCCGUUCGCUAGGGACGAAGCUUUUUGUGACGGUACCUAGAUAAGAAGCACCGGCUAACUACGUG
rnacentral:rRNA from 1 species